rnacentral:rRNA from 1 species
UACGUAGGGCGCGAGCGUUAUCCGGAUUCACUGGGCUUAAAGGGUGCGUAGGCGGGUUUGUAAGUCAGUGGUGAAAUCUCCGGGCUUAACCCGGAAACUGCCAUUGAUACUAUCAGUCUUGAAUACCGUGGAGGUAAGCGGAAUAUGUCAUGUAGCGGUGAAAUGCUUAGAUAUGACAUAGAACACCAAUUGCGAAGGCAGCUUACUGCCCGAAUAUUGACACUGAGGCACGAAAGCGUGGGGAUCAAACAGG